AUUUAAAUAGUUUAAUAAAAAGCAUUGGUUUGUGGAGCCAAGGAUGUAGAAAUACUUUAGAUA
rnacentral:tRNA from 2 species